rnacentral:rRNA from 1 species
AGAGCGAACGCUGGCGGCAGGCUUAACACAUGCAAGUCGAGCGGGCGUAGCAAUACGUCAGCGGCAGACGGGUGAGUAACGCGUGGGAACAUACCUUUUGGUUCGGAACAACACAGGGAAACUUGUGCUAAUACCGGAUAAGCCCUUACGGGGAAAGAUUUAUCGCCGAAAGAUUGGCCCGCGUCUGAUUAGCUAGUUGGUGAGGUAACGGCUCACCAAGGCGACGAUCAGUAGCUGGUCUGAGAGGAUGAUCAGCCACAUUGGGACUGAGACACGGCCCAAACUCCUACGGGAGGCAGCAGUGGGAAUAUUGGACAAUGGGCGCAAGCCUGAUCCAGCCAUGCCGCGUGAGUGAUGAAGGCCCUAGGGUUGUAAAGCUCUUUUGUGCGGGAAGAUAAUGACGGUACCGCAAGAAUAAGCCCCGGCUAACUUCGACGCCAGCCAGCCGC